GGUUUUGUUGUGUUGCCCAGGCUGGUCUCAAACUCCUGAGCUCAAGCGAUCUACCUGCCUCAGUCUCCCAAGGUGCUGGGAUUACAGGUGUGAGCCAUUGCGCUCAGCCUGGUCAUUAUCAUUUCUAUCACCAGAUACCGAAACUGGCAACACCCAGAGACAUUUCCCUCCUAGUCAUAAAGGAAGCCAGCAGCAGAGCCAGAAAUAAUAUUCAAAUUCUGGAUCCACUAGACCAUAUUGCCCGUCUGACAAAUUAUACGCUUACAUCCUGCUUCAGUUCUAAUAAGGUACCCACAAUGCCGGGUUCUCUACCCACUGGGAGCAAACAAGGGAACGUGCAGACGCUGGACAGCAUACGAUGGAUGCCUGCAACUCCUGUACCUGCCCCCGAAUGCCACCAGAAAUAUGCCAUCUCUACUGAAACAGCUUUUCCAACCCUGAGCACGUUUAUGAACACGGAAAAGAGUGUAAAGGGGUCAAAUGCAGACUUUACAAAAAGAAACCCAAGAUGGAGAUUCCUGUUCGGGAUAUACUGCAGGUGGGGUUCAUAACAACAUAGUCCUUUACUUGCCAAGUAAUCUGAAAGCAACUAAUUAGAGAACCUGUAAGGGAUGCCAAUCCCAGUUUUCAAAAUGGCAUUUCAAGGAAAUUAAAUCUUAUCAUGUAAAUAGGUCA
ensembl:lncRNA LINC02909 long intergenic non-protein coding RNA 2909